rnacentral:misc_RNA from 1 species
UUCGUGUGCGGAUGCGUGAGCACGCGGUGUAUCUCCCUCGACCUCUUUCUGACGUCGUUCUCUUGCUCAUCGCGGGCCCUUUCAUUUUUCUCUAUUUCACACGGCAGUGCUGGUGCCUGUUGUGCUCUCGCGUUCUCCUUCCGCCGCCGUGGGUGCUUUUUCGGCGCUGACGACGCAGGAGGACUCUCUCUCUGACCUUUCCACUCCCUUCACCACUUUGCUGUCUCACUCCCUCCUCCGAGUGGGUCACAUACUACUGUGAGGGCAAGCGUGCCUUCGGCAGCAAAUGCUAACGGGCAACUCAAGCCCUCUCCUCCUGCUUGACUCCUCCUCUCUGCCCGACGCCGGCAGGUGAGUGCACCGGUCCCUGCGGAAGGAUGUGGACGCACCGCAGCUCAUCAGUACCGCAUUCCGUUUGAUGGCACUUCAUUUUGAUCCCUUUCUUAGGCUAUUAGGAGGUGUGCCGGCGAGGUGUGCUGCGGAUGCGGCUGUGGUCUUGACGCUGCAGAGGUGGGCGGGGGGGGGUGCGCGUGCGCUGAGCUGCGUGGGGCUAAUUGCGGAAAAGCAGCUGUGCAUGGGCAUUCUCGUGCAUGGCCAAGCCUCGCGCGGCCUCACAUUGGCGGGGCUCCUGGCGGAUUACGUCCGCUACCGGUGGCACCUCAUGAGCACCGAGAACUGGGGAAAGGGCGGGCGCCCUGCGCACGUGGGGAUUCUGACUGCGGAUGGCUCGAUCACCAUACUGCUGAGGGAGGGGUGCAGGUGUCGGAGGCGUGUAUCCAUCGCCUCGAGGCGGCUGUCAGCCGAUUCAUGGACAACCGCCUGCGCCCGCUACCGGGAGACGAGGCGGAUGCUGGCAUGGGGCGAGUGGCGGCGGGUCUGGGAAGACAUAGAUGUCGCCGUCUCUGAAGAGCUCCAUCGCCGAUCGACACACCCACGGAGGAGGAUCCGCGGGUGCUCUUCCGCAUUCCCCUCCUCCGCGUUCGACGCGUGGCAUGCACGCAAGGCGUCACUGCAGGGCGGAAACAGCGUGCGCCGGCUCAUUCUAGUGGUGGCAUCGAAGGCCGAGCGGACGGAUGCAGCUCAGGCCGCGGCGCAAACAACCACGGCGCCUUCUACAUCGUUCGGCGGCUCCCCUGUAAUCCAUUGCUCCCCUAUUCGUCAUCCUCUUUUUCCAUCCUUUUCGUCUUCUUUUUCUGCGGCACCUUUUACUGUACGGGCGCGUGCGCUGCAG